rnacentral:rRNA from 1 species
UGGGGAAUAUUGCGCAAUGGGGGGAACCCUGACGCAGCCAUGCCGCGUGAAUGAAGAAGGCCUUCGGGUUGUAAAGUUCUUUCGGUAUUGAGGAAGGUUGAUGUGUUAAUAGCACAUCAAAUUGACGUUAAAUACAGAAGAAGCACCGGCUAACUCCGUGCCAGCAGCCGCGGUAAUACGGAGGGUGCGAGCGUUAAUCGGAAUAACUGGGCGUAAAGGGCACGCAGGCGGUUAUUUAAGUGAGGUGUGAAAGCCCUGGGCUUAACCUAGGAAUUGCAUUUCAGACUGGGUAACUAGAGUACUUUAGGGAGGGGUAGAAUUCCACGUGUAGCGGUGAAAUGCGUAGAGAUGUGGAGGAAUACCGAAGGCGAAGGCAGCCCCUUGGGAAUGUACUGACGCUCAUGUGCGAAAGCGUGGGGAGCAAACAGGAUUAGAUACCCUGGUAGUCCACGCUGUAAACGCUGUCGAUUUGGGGAUUGGGCUUAGAGCUUGGUGCCCGUAGCUAACGUGAUAAAAUCGACCGCCUGGGGAGUACGGCCGCAAGGUUA